rnacentral:lncRNA from 1 species
AGAGGUGGUAGGCGGUUGCGCCAGCUUCACAUCCUGGAUAGGCAGGAACGUUUCCCUAUCAUACUCCUGUCCCGGGUCUCAUGUGUCUCAGUUCAAACAGACACUGCCGUCUAUCUUCAAGCUGCAAUGAAGCUGAGAGCCACAGAAAACACCUGUACCAUGGUUUCAGGGAGGAGUCUCUUCCCUCAGCCGAAAACAGACAGCUUUGCUGGUCAUCUGUUCUCCACUGCGAGGACGCUGCCACUCAGUGUGGAGAGAGGAAGGGGUUCUGCCUAUGGUGCAAGAAGGUCGGACUCGGCAGUUAAUACUCUUGGAUAAUGUAUUUAAGGAUGCUUAAGAAAUUGCAACAGCCAGUUCAACCUUCAGCAACCACCAUACUGAUCAGUAGUCAUCAACAUUGAGACGAGACUGUACACCAGCAAAAAGAUCCCAACUCAAUGAAGGCUCAGAUGAUUUUAGCAUUUUUUUAGCAAUAAAGCAUUUUUAAAUUAAACUAUAUACAUUGUUGUUUUAGACAAGUUUUUGCACAUUCAGAAUACAGUAAAGUGUAAACAUGACUUUUAUAUACACUGGGGAAACCAAAAAAUUUGUGUGACUUACUUUAUUGCAAUAUUUGUUUUAUUGUGCUGAUCUGGAGCUAAAUAUAUCUGAGAUAUGCUUGUACUGAUGAUUAUUUUAACACCAAGAUAUUUUAAAAUUCAUUAAAUAAAUGUUUAUUUAAAUA